CACAGGAAUACCUCCCCCUGCUCAUAUCCGCGGACAUAGGGAUCCAAUAGGGUACUGACCAAUGCACGAUACUGACCACACAGCCCCUUACCAAGUACUUCGAAACCAAUACCUCCCUCAAAGUGUCCCCGCUGAUAACAUGGGAGGCACACAAAUGUGUUGUCAGGGAGCACUAUAUUAACUACUGCACGCAGUGCAAACGUGAGAACACCAGACGCGUCCUGGAACUGACCAAACAGAUAUCCGGCCUAGAAACUACACACAAAAGGGAACGGACAGACGAAGUAUACCUACAACUGACUGAUACAUGGAGACAACUCAGGGACCUACUAUCCCAGAAACUUCU